GGUUAAGCGACUAAGCGUACACGGUGGAUGCCCUGGCAGUCAGAGGCGAUGAAGGACGUGCUAAUCUGCGAUAAGCGUCGGUAAGGUGAUAUGAACCGUUAUAACCGGCGAUUUCCGAAUGGGGAAACCCAGUGUGUUUCGACACACUAUCAUUAACUGAAUCCAUAGGUUAAUGAGGCGAACCGGGGGAACUG
rnacentral:rRNA from 1 species